GUGCUCUGUUAGAUAAAUGAGACAUUUCCUUUCACAGAGUUUAAAGAGAAUAGUAAAGUGAUUUUCCUCUGCUGCUUGUGCUUGGGAUGAGCUUUGCUAUUCACUUAGAUCUUUCAGAGAGUCUCCCUUGCUUCAGGAACCUGUCAGUUUCUUCAGACUGACUUAUUUCUUCUCUUGUGUUUCUGAAUCUUUUUCCCCACGGAGAGCACAGCCAAGGAAGAGAUGCUGACCACUGGCUUGCCGUGCUGUAAGGAGGAGCUGAUCCAGAGCUGAGCCCCAUCAUAGAGCUUUGCAGGCAGUAGAAGAGGGAUUCCUGACUGCCUCAGAGAAAAAAAAUCUGAAUUAGUGCCUGCAGACCUUGAUGCUCAAACCAAAGGAUGCUGCUCUUGUACCUAUUUUUGUGUUUUCUCACAAGAGGACUUCAGACUAAAGGAUCUAGAGGUACUUUUGGAUUGCUGUGAAGGCAGCUCUCAGAGGGAAGCCAUGGACAAUCUGCUCAGGAUGAAGAGAAAACCCUGGAAGUGGAAACUUCUGGGGAAGCUUCUGAAGAAGCAUCCUUCCCUGGACUCCAGCUUCUGCUGGACAACUGCAGAACUGCAAACAACUGUUUGGGAACAGCAAACAUCUCUGAUGGUAAAGGUAUGAGUAAACUAAACUUCCAUUGGUGGCUUUACUGGAUGGUAGUGACUGUCUUUAAAUUAAAACCAAAUAUCUAAAAAUUCUCCUAAGCUGGAGAUGUCUUAAGUUAAAUUCAGUGUAUUAUUUGAAAUUCCUUGUGAUGAGGGAAAUGGGGGAAAAAUUUAUUUGGGCCGUGCUUUGUUUGAUUCAGGUAGCAUUUCUGCUGGUGUUGGUCACUGACUGGUGGUCUCCUGUGUGGAGCAGAGUGUGCUGAUGGGAAU
rnacentral:lncRNA from 1 species